rnacentral:rRNA from 1 species
GUUGUAUGGUUAAGUGACUAAGCGUACACGGUGGAUGCCUGGGCAGUCAGAGGCGAUGAAGGACGUACUAACUUGCGAUAAGCGCAGAUAAGGCAGUAAGAGCCGUUUGAGUCUGCGAUUUCCGAAUGGGGAAACCCAACUGCAUAAGCAGUUACUGUUAACUGAAUACAUAGGUUAACAGAGCAAACCGGGGGAACUGAAACAUCUAAGUACCCCGAGGAGAAGAAAUCAACCGAGAUUCCGGUAGUAGCGGCGAGCGAACCUGGAUUAGCCCUUAAGCGCUCGGUGAAGUAGGUGAACAAGCUGGAAAGCUUGGCGAUACAGGGUGAUAGCCCCGUAACCGACGCUUCAUCGAGCGUGAAAUCGAGUAGGGCGGGACACGUGAUAUCCUGUCUGAAUAUGGGGGGACCAUCCUCCAAGGCUAAAUACUCCUGACUGACCGAUAGUGAACCAGUACCGUGAGGGAAAGGCGAAAAGAACCCCUGUGAGGGGAGUGAAAUAGAACCUGAAACCGUGUACGUACAAGCAGUAGGAGCACCUUCGUGGUGUGACUGCGUACCUUUUGUAUAAUGGGUCAGCGACUUAUAUUCAGUGGCAAGGUUAACCGUAUAGGGGAGCCGUAGCGAAAGCGAGUCUUAACUGGGCGCUCAGUCUCUGGAUAUAGACCCGAAACCGGGUGAUCUAGCCAUGGGCAGGUUGAAGGUUGAGUAACAUCAACUGGAGGACCGAACCGACUAAUGUUGAAAAAUUAGCGGAUGACUUGUGGCUAGGGGUGAAAGGCCAAUCAAACUCGGAGAUAGCUGGUUCUCCCCGAAAGCUAUUUAGGUAGCGCCUCGGACGAAUACUACUGGGGGUAGAGCACUGUUAAGGCUAGGGGGUCAUCCCGACUUACCAACCCUUUGCAAACUCCGAAUACCAGUAAGUACUAUCCGGGAGACACACGGCGGGUGCUAACGUCCGUCGUGGAGAGGGAAACAACCCAGACCGCCAGCUAAGGUCCCAAAGUAUUGCUAAGUGGGAAACGAUGUGGGAAGGCUCAGACAGCUAGGAUGUUGGCUUAGAAGCAGCCAUCAUUUAAAGAAAGCGUAAUAGCUCACUAGUCGAGUCGGCCUGCGCGGAAGAUGUAACGGGGCUAAGCAAUACACCGAAGCUGCGGCAAUAUCUUUUAGAUAUUGGGUAGGGGAGCGUUCUGUAAGCCGUUGAAGGUGAAUCGUAAGGUUUGCUGGAGGUAUCAGAAGUGCGAAUGCUGACAUGAGUAACGACAAAGGGGGUGAAAAACCUCCUCGCCGGAAGACCAAGGGUUCCUGUCCAACGUUAAUCGGGGCAGGGUGAGUCGACCCCUAAGGUGAGGCCGAAAGGCGUAAUCGAUGGGAAACGGGUUAAUAUUCCCGUACUUCUGACUAUUGCGAUGGGGGGACGGAGAAGGCUAGGUGGGCCAGGCGACGGUUGUCCUGGUUCAAGUGCGUAGGCUUGAGAGUUAGGUAAAUCCGGCUCUCUCUAAGGCUGAGACACGACGUCGAGCUGCUACGGCAGUGAAGUCAUUGAUGCCAUGCUUCCAGGAAAAGCCUCUAAGCUUCAGAUAGUCAGGAAUCGUACCCCAAACCGACACAGGUGGUCGGGUAGAGAAUACCAAGGCGCUUGAGAGAACUCGGGUGAAGGAACUAGGCAAAAUGGUACCGUAACUUCGGGAGAAGGUACGCUCUUGAUGGUGAAGUCCCUCGCGGAUGGAGCUGACGAGAGUCGCAGAUACCAGGUGGCUGCAACUGUUUAUUAAAAACACAGCACUGUGCAAAAUCGCAAGAUGACGUAUACGGUGUGACGCCUGCCCGGUGCCGGAAGGUUAAUUGAUGGGGUUAGCGCAAGCGAAGCUCUUGAUCGAAGCCCCGGUAAACGGCGGCCGUAACUAUAACGGUCCUAAGGUAGCGAAAUUCCUUGUCGGGUAAGUUCCGACCUGCACGAAUGGCGUAAUGAUGGCCACGCUGUCUCCACCCGAGACUCAGUGAAAUUGAAAUCGCUGUGAAGAUGCAGUGUACCCGCGGCUAGACGGAAAGACCCCGUGAACCUUUACUACAGCUUGGCACUGAACAUUGAACCUACAUGUGUAGGAUAGGUGGGAGGCUAUGAAGACGUGACGCCAGUUGCGUUGGAGCCGUCCUUGAAAUACCACCCUUGUAUGUUUGAUGUUCUAACUUAGCCCCAUUAUCUGGGGUGAGGACAGUGCCUGGUGGGUAGUUUGACUGGGGCGGUCUCCUCCCAAAGAGUAACGGAGGAGCACGAAGGUGGGCUAAUCACGG